rnacentral:rRNA from 1 species
GGUCCUACGGGAGGCAGCAGUGAGGAAUAUUGGUCAAUGGGCGCGAGCCUGAACCAGCCAAGUCGCGUGAGGGAUGACGGCCCUACGGGUUAUAAACCUCUUUUGCCGGGGAGCAACGGGCGCCACGUGUGGCGCCACUGAGAGUACCCGGAGAAAAAGCAUCGGCUAACUCCGUGCCAGCAGCCGCGGUAAUACGGAGGAUGCGAGCGUUAUCCGGAUUUAUUGGGUUUAAAGGGUGCGUAGGCGGACUGUUAAGUCAGCGGUAAAAGCCCGGGGCUCAACCCCGGCGAGCCGUUGAAACUGGC